rnacentral:rRNA from 1 species
AUUGAACGCUGGCGGCAGGCCUAACACAUGCAAGUCGAGCGGAGCGGCGGACGGGUGAGUAAUGACUAGGAAUCUGCCUGGUAGUGGGGGAUAACGACCGGCAACGGGCGCUAAUACCGCAUACUAUCAGAUGAGCCUAGGCGGGAUGAGCUAGGUGGUGGGGUAAAGGCCUACCAAGGCGACGAUCCGUAACUGGUCUGAGUGGAUGAUCAGCCACACUGGAACUGAGACACGGCCCAGACUCCUACGGGAGGCAGCAGUGGGGAAUAUUGCACAAUGGGCGCAAGCCUGAUGCAGCCAUGCCGCGUGUAUGAAGAAGGCCUUAGGGUUGUAAAGUACUUUCAGCGGGGAGGCGUUACCCGCAGAAGAAGCACCGGCUAACUCCGUGCCAGCAGCCGCGGUAAUAC